GUUAUAUGGUCAAGUGAAGAAGCGCAUACGGUGGAUGCCUUGGCAGUCAGAGGCGAUGAAAGACGUGGUAGCCUGCGAAAAGCUUCGGGGAGUCGGCAAACAGACUUUGAUCCGGAGAUGUCUGAAUGGGGGAACCCAGCCAUCACAAGAUGGUUAUCUUGUACUGAAUACAUAGGUGCAAGAGGCGAACCAGGGGAACUGAAACAUCUAAGUACCCUGAGGAAAAGAAAUCAACCGAGAUUCCCUUAGUAGUGGCGAGCGAACGGGGACUAGCCCUUAAGCUUCUUUGAUUUUAGCGGAACGCUCUGGAAAGUGCGGCCAUAGUGGGUGAUAGCCCUGUACGCGAAAGGAUCUUAGAAGUGAAAUCGAGUAGGACGGAGCACGAGAAACUUUGUCUGAAUAUGGGGGGACCAUCCUCCAAGGCUAAAUACUACUGACUGACCGAUAGUGAACUAGUACCGUGAGGGAAAGGCGAAAAGAACCCCGGAGAGGGGAGUGAAAUAGAUCCUGAAACCGUAUGCGUACAAGCAGUGGGAGCCCACUUUGUUGGGUGACUGCGUACCUUUUGUAUAAUGGGUCAGCGACUUAUUUUCAGUGGCGAGCUUAACCGAAUAGGGGAGGCGUAGCGAAAGCGAGUCUUAAUAGGGCGUCUAGUCGCUGGGAAUAGACCCGAAACCGGGCGAUCUAUCCAUGGGCAGGUUGAAGGUUAGGUAACACUGACUGGAGGACCGAACCGACUACCGUUGAAAAGUUAGCGGAUGACCUGUGGAUCGGAGUGAAAGGCUAAUCAAGCUCGGAGAUAGCUGGUUCUCCUCGAAAGCUAUUUAGGUAGCGCCUCAUGUAUCACUGUAGGGGGUAGAGCACUGUUUCGGCUAGGGGGUCAUCCCGACUUACCAAACCGAUGCAAACUCCGAAUACCUACAAGUGCCGAGCAUGGGAGACACACGGCGGGUGCUAACGUCCGUCGUGAAAAGGGAAACAACCCAGACCGUCAGCUAAGGUCCCAAAGUUAUGGUUAAGUGGGAAACGAUGUGGGAAGGCUUAGACAGCUAGGAGGUUGGCUUAGAAGCAGCCACCCUUUAAAGAAAGCGUAAUAGCUCACUAGUCGAGUCGGCCUGCGCGGAAGAUGUAACGGGGCUCAAACCAUACACCGAAGCUACGGGUAUCACG
rnacentral:rRNA from 1 species